rnacentral:rRNA from 1 species
AACGGGAGCAGAGCAACAGGGAUUACCUCAGUAACGGCGAGUGAAGCGGUAACAGCUCAAAUUUGAAAUCUGGCUCUUUCAGGGUCCGAGUUGUAAUUUGUAGAAGAUGCUUUGGGUGUAGCCCUGGUCUAAGUUCCUUGGAACAGGACGUCAUAGAGGGUGAGAAUCCCGUAUGUGACUAGGCGCUUUCGCCCGUGUAAAGCUCUUUCGACGAGUCGAGUUGUUUGGGAAUGCAGCUCAAAAUGGGUGGUAAAUUUCAUCUAAAGCUAAAUAUUGGCCAGAGACCGAUAGCGCACAAGUAGAGUGAUCGAAAGAUGAAAAGCACUUUGGAAAGAGAGUUAAACAGUACGUGAAAUUGUUGAAAGGGAAGCGCUUGCAACCAGACUUAGUUGCGGCCGAUCAUCUAGGGUUCUCCCUGGUGCACUCGGUCGUAUCUAGGCCAGCAUCGGUUUGGGUGGUGGGAUAAAGGCCUUGGGAAUGUAGCUUCUUUCGGGGAGUGUUAUAGCCCUCGGUGCAAUGCCGCCUACCUGGACCGAGGACCGCGCUUCGGCUAGGAUGCUGGCGUAAUGGUUGUAAGCGACCCGUCUUGAAACACGGACCAAGGAGUCUAACAUCUAUGCGAGUAUUUGGGUGUUAAACCCAUAUGCGUAAUGAAAGUGAACGGAGGUGAGAACCCUUAAGGGUGCAUCAUCGACCGAUCCUGAUGUCUUCGGAUGGAUUUGAGUAAGAGCAUAGCUGUUGGGACCCGAAAGAUGGUGAACUAUGCCUAAAUAGGGUGAAGCCAGAGGAAACUCUGGUGGAGGCUCGCAGCGGUUCUGACGUGCAAAUCGAUCGUCAAAUUUGGGUAUAGGGGCGAAAGACUAAUCGAACCAUCUAGUAGCUGGUUCCUGCCGAUUUCCCCCUCUAGAGAGA